rnacentral:rRNA from 1 species
UACGAUGGGAGGCUAGCGUUGCUCGGAAUCACUGGGCGUAAAGCGCACGUAGGCGGAUUGCUAAGUCAGGGGUGAAAUCCUGGAGCUCAACUCCAGAACUGCCUUUGAUACUGGCGACCUUGAGUCCGGGAGAGGUGAGUGGAACUGCGAGUGUAGAGGUGAAAUUCGUAGAUAUUCGCAAGAACACCAGUGGCGAAGGCGGCUCACUGGCCCGGUACUGACGCUGAGGUGCGAAAGCGUGGGGAGCAAACAGGG